CUCAAAAAGCCUACUAUUUAGAACCCAAGUACGGGUAUUGGGACAGGGCCAGUGACACAAGGCAGAGAGUGAAAGCCAGUGAGAGACAAGAACCCAGCGAGACAGAAACCUAGCGCAAUACAGAGAAAUAAGAGCACGCUCUCUCUCUUUCAGCCUCCCGAACCAACCGUCUCCACCGCCACCACACGCCACCAGGAAAUCUACCUGACAGUUGCCAUGGUGACGCUUGUGCAGGCGGGGCGCCGGGAUGAGACGACUGGACCAGGAGAGGCUUGAGAAGAGGACCAAGAGGAGAGAGGGAAGAAUGGGGGAGUAACAGGCGAGGUCAUCACGUAUUCCCUCUGGAGCACUGAGUAUUGUGCAUCGCAGAAGAGAGGCGUUUGAUCUAGCGUUGGAAACAGGAACUAAAUGUAAACAUGCCAAACGCCUGCACCCCGUGGGAAAUCAGGCCUGUGAGGACGUGGCGGAACACACUCAGAAUAUGAUGUAUCACACGCUUCAAUGGGCCUGCUACCGUAAGAGGUAGCAAACAUUACUGCACAACCCAGGAACAAAUGUGCACCUCGCUUCCAGGGGGUUUAUUUUCAACUUACAGAAAUCCCUUUUUCUCUGUUCCAGUCAAAGUGCUUUUCCUUUUUCAUCUGUAAAGACUGUUUUAGGAGUGAUGGACAGAGGUAAUAAAAUGGAACAAAACACUUUCCUCUCCUGAACACAAAGAGCACAGCAGCACAGUCGGAAGUGACUGAUAUCCACUUAGCCGUAUAAUCGCAUUUCACUGGGAUAAUACCAGCCACUAUCAGAUGUCAUUUGUUUCAUCAAAGGAUAAACUGCUCAUUAACGACACAC